rfam:Aedes albopictus isolate Foshan contig168674, whole genome shotgun sequence.
UGGCCUAGUGGUAAAGGCUAUGGAUCGCCAAUCCGGAAACGGCGGGUUUGAUUCCCGU